rnacentral:rRNA from 1 species
UAUUAGAUUAUGGUCUUCAACCUAAAGAAUAUGGCGGUGUUUAAUUAUAAUUAGAGGAACCUGUUUAUUAAUCGAUAAUCCACGAAAAUCUUACUUAAAUUAAAAGUUUGUAUACCAUCGUUUGAAAUAAUAUUAAAAAAUUCUAUUUCUAUAUAUACAUAAAUAAGAUGUCAGAUCAUGGUGCAGCAAUAUUUAAGAUUAAAUUGGUUACAUUCUAAAAUCUAUUGACGUUAUCUGAAUUUAAAAAUCACUAAAGCAGAAUUUAAAUGUAAUUAUAAAAUAUAAUUUUAUAAUGAAUACUUCCAAAACAUGCACAUAUCGCCCGUCACUCUCA